rnacentral:rRNA from 1 species
CCUACGGGUGGCUGCAGUGAGGAAUAUUGGUCAAUGGACGCAAGUCUGAACCAGCCAUGCCGCGUGCAGGAAGACGGCUCUAUGAGUUGUAAACUGCUUUUGUACGAGGGUAAACUCCGCUACGUGUAUCUUUCUGAAAGUAUCGUACGAAUAAGGAUCGGCUAACUCCGUGCCAGCAGCCGCGGUAAUACGGAGGAUUCAAGCGUUAUCCGGAUUUAUUGGGUUUAAAGGGUGCGUAGGCGGUCGGAUAAGUUAGCGGGGAAAUCCCGAGGCUCAACUUCGGAAUUGCCGCUGAUACUGGUUGGCUGGAGAGUAGUUGCGGUAGGCGGAAUGUAUGGUGUAGCGGUGAAAUGCUGAGAGAUCACACAGAACACCGAUUGCGAAGGCAGCUUACCAAGCUACGUCUGACGUUGAGGCACGAAAGCGUGGGGAGCAAACAGGAUUAGAUACCCGUGUAGUC